rnacentral:rRNA from 1 species
CCUACGGGUGGCUGCAGUCGAGAAUCAUUCACAAUGGGGGAAACCCUGAUGGUGCGACGCCGCGUGGGGGAAUGAAGGUCUUCGGAUUGUAAACCCCUGUCAUGUGGGAGCAAAUUAAAAAGAUAGUACCACAAGAGAAAGAGACGGCUAACUCUGUGCCAGCAGCCGCGGUAAUACAGAGGUCUCAAGCGUUGUUCGGAAUCACUGGGCGUAAAGCGUGCGUAGGCUGUUUCGUAAGUCGUGUGUGAAAGGCGCGGGCUCAACCCGAGGACGGCACAUGAUACUGGGAGACUAGAGUAAAGGAGGGGAAGCCGGAAUUCGUGGUGUAGCAGUGAAAUGCGUAGAUAGCGAGAGGAACACUCGUGGAGAAGGCGGGUUCCUGGACAUUAACUGACGCUGAGGCACGAAGGCCAGGGGAGCGAAAGGGAUUAGAUACCCUUGUAGUC